AUUAUAAAUCGCAAAAUCCACAUUUCCGCCGCAGAGAGGCCCAGCGGCGGCCCAACUGCGCAGCGAUAAAGUUCAUGUUGCCUUGGUGGCUCGGUAUCUCUUGGUGCCGGAAUACGUCAGCCCCCCAGCCCCCCGGUGUCAGGGGAAUGCCGGGCCACUUGGCAACGCGUAACGAGUACCUGACUUAAAAAAGGCCGGCGUUCAGCGCCGGCCUUUUC
rnacentral:sRNA from 1 species